rnacentral:lncRNA from 1 species
UACUCUUUGUUCGAUUGAAUAAAAAAAAGUACUCGUUGCAAUGUUAUACUGUUAGGGCUCAACUGAGAAGUCUAACGUUGUUCCGAUUUUGGUUCUUGUGAACGUUGACAUCGAUUCGUUCCAUAUUUACACUCUUGGGGUAUAAUAGAAAACUUUUACUCCUUGUUCGAUAGAAUAAGAAAAAUUACUCGUUGCAAAGUUAUACUGUUAUGGCGCAACUGAGUAGUCUAAUGUUGUUCCGGUUUUGGUUCUUGUGAACGCUGACAUCGAUUCGUUCUAAAUUUACACUCUUGGGGCAUAAUAGAAAGCUUUUACUCCUUGUUCGAUAGAAUGAGAAAAAGUACUCGUUGCAAAGUUAUACUGUUAUGGCGCAACUGAGUAGUCUAAUUGUCACGCCCCGCCCCAAUCCCGCUACCAAUUUGGCGCGGUUCGGGCGCGGCGGGCGUGAGGCCGAACAGACAGAACCUCCCCUGUCCGCCCUAGGCUCACAACGAGAUUGUGUACAACAAGUCCCCAGGAACAAUCAACUUGUAAACAUACACAAUCAACCACGACGACGAGAGCACAAACAGUGCUAAUACAAGCGAGAGCAAGCGAUACGAGUAAGUAACAUACAAGUAUACAAAAGAGAGAUAAACUUAACUAUUUAAACAUAAAACUUUGAUACAUUAACCUCUUUUAACAUCAUUAAACUUUACCCAUUUAAUACAACUUGCAUUCUUUUUCAAAAUGUAAAUACAUACAUCCUCUCAAACCUCACCCUAUACAUCAUCUACUCUCAAAAUGUAAACAUAGGGUAGGACUAAUGCAAUAUAGGAAGCAAACUAUCAACCAACACCGCUAGGGCGCUACGCCCUUGCCGCGAUCCUCCCGCUCGCCGGGAAUACUCGAACUAGCACCUGCAACAUGGUGGGGUGAGAACUACGAAUAGUUCCCAGUGGGUUCGGCCGCCGACUCCACCGAUCUACCCACUAGGUCUAAGCAGGCAUAGAGAGAUAUAUAUGCAAGUAUAUAUAAAACUAUGCUAAACUGAAGGCAGGUAUGGAAACUGAGCAGGUAGCUAGUGUAAGUAAGUAAGUAAAGUAUGAACAUCUAACUAUGCCUCAAUCUGAUAUCAUGAAUGCAUGAACAAUAAACAAA